AGAGUUUGAUCCUGGCUCAGGAUGAAUGCUGGCGGCGUGCCUAAUACAUGCAAGUCGAGCGGUAAGGCCCUUCGGGGUACACGAGCGGCGGACGGCUGAGUAACGCGUGGGAACAUGCCCCAAAGUGAGGGAUAACGCACCGAAAGGUGUGCUAAUACCGCAUAUGGUCUUCGGAUUAAAGGAUUUAUCCGCUUUGGGAGUGGCCCGCGUACGAUUAGAUUGUUGGUGAGGUAACGGCUCACCAAGUCGACGAUCGUUAACUGGUCUGAGAGGAUGAUCAGUCAGACUGGAACUGAGACACGGUCCAGACUCCUACGGGAGGCAGCAGUAAGGAAUCUUCCACAAUGGGCGAAAGCCUGAUGGAGCAACGCCGCGUGCAGGAUGAAGGCCCUCGGGUCGUAAACUGCUUUUAUGAGUGAAGAAUAUGACGGUAACUCAUGAAUAAGCACCGGCUAACUACGUG
rnacentral:rRNA from 1 species